AACGCACAUUGCGCCCCUCGGUAUUCCGUGGGGCAUGCCUGUUCGAGCGUCAUUUAACCCCUCAAGCCUAGCUUGGUAUUGGGUGAUUGUCCCGCCCCCGCGCGGCGACUCGCCUUAAAGUCAUUGGCAGCCCGCAUCCGCCGGCCGUGAGCGCAGCACAGUCGCGCACUUGGUCCCGGCGGUUCGGCUAUCCAAAAGCUUAUUUCAACCACAAUUGACCUCGGAUCAGGUAGGGAUACCCGCUGAACUUAA
rnacentral:misc_RNA from 1 species